rnacentral:rRNA from 1 species
GACGAACGCUGGCGGCGUGCUUAACACAUGCAAGUCGAACGGAAAGGCCCUGCUUUUGUGGGGUGCUCGAGUGGCGAACGGGUGAGUAACACGUGAGUAACCUGCCCUUGACUUUGGGAUAACUUCAGGAAACUGGGGCUAAUACCGGAUAGGAGCUCCUGCUGCAUGGUGGGGGUUGGAAAGUUUCGGCGGUUGGGGAUGGACUCGCGGCUUAUCAGCUUGUUGGUGGGGUAGUGGCUUACCAAGGCUUUGACGGGUAGCCGGCCUGAGAGGGUGACCGGCCACAUUGGGACUGAGAUACGGCCCAGACUCCUACGGGAGGCAGUAGUGGGGAAUAUUGCACAAUGGGCGGAAGCCUGAUGCGGCAACGCCGCGUGCGGGAUGACGGCCUUCGGGUUGUAAACCGCUUUCGCCUGUGACGAAGCGUGAGUGACGGUAAUGGGUAAAGAAGCACCGGCUAACUACGUG